rnacentral:lncRNA from 1 species
CGGGCGGAGCUUAUGUUUUAAUGUGCAUAAGGACAGUCUAUUUGAAGAUGUGUGUGAUAAGGAUGAUUGCCGUUAUAAUUAGUUGAACUCUCAUCACCUAUCAGUGUCACCAAACGUAUAUACAAAAGAACUGAGUGCAUGUUAUGGGACGAAUAACUGGACACGUCAUUAAGAAGUUGAUCCCAAAACUCCUGUCUAUAGAUGGACUGGUCUUAAAUACGCGAGCUUCUCAAACCCCGCCCAGUCAAGUGAAAUAAAUCUAGUAAUAUUUUCAAUGUGAAUAUUUAAAACAACUUAGUAAUAAACACCAGUUACAUGUAUCGAUUUAUUAUAAAUGUGUUACUGAAGUUAAAUCAUUUUAAAGUGAAUACACCACAUAAUUUCUUAAAAUGUGUAUGUAUAUCAUGCUGUAUUUUUCUGUUUUGUUCUUUGUAAAAUAUGUAGGUACCCAGUUACAAAUAGAGUAUUAGAAAAUUUUACGAAUCAUACCAAAUGUAUAUGACAUUAUCAAAUAUUUGUUCUUUUCGAUAAUAAGGAAUGUAGUCUACGUCAAGCAGACAACUGAACAAAAAAUAAGCGAAAUACAUCUUGAGGGUAACGCUCAUAGUGAAAUUCACGUUAUAGGGUUAUUGCCUUAUGAUAAAGACACUAUCCUUUGAUGUUGAAGAUUAUAUUUGAAGAACAUAUUGAAAGUAUAAAAUGUUGUAUAAUAUAUAUCUUUCAAAUUAGGAUCUGCAUAACAUUUAAUAAUAGUUUCAUACAAAAUCAAGUAAUAACAUUUACGUUACAAAUUGUACUACAUCUGACUCUCAUUUCGACAUGCAUAUCUCUUUUGUGAACGCAAGGCCUCAAAACUUAAAAAUACAAAAUGUAAUACAAACAUUGAUUACCAGGCUAUAAGACAAUACAGAUAACUGCUUGUAAUACCUGCAAAGUGAUAU